CAGCCGCCGCGGUAAUACAGAGGGUGCGAGCGUUAAUCGGAUUUACUGGGCGUAAAGCGUGAGUAGGCGGCUAAUUGAGUCGGAUGUGAAAUCCCCGAGCUUAACUUGGGAAUUGCAUUCGAUACUGGUUAGCUAGAGUGUGGGAGAGGAUGGUAGAAUUCCAGGUGUAGCGGUGAAAUGCGUAGAGAUCUGGAGGAAUACCGAUGGCGAAGGCAGCCAUCUGGCCUAACACUGACGCUGAGGUACGAAAGCAUGGGGAGCAAACAGGAUUAGAUACCCGAGUAGUCCCUGUCUCUUAUAC
rnacentral:rRNA from 1 species